GUCUGCUCGCUUUAAAGAGCAGUCUAGCCUGCCCACUGAUUAUUUUUAAAGGCCGCGGUACCCUGACCGUGCGAAGGUAGCAUAAUAAUUAGUCUUUUAAUUGAAGACUGGAAUGAAAGGUUGGACAAAAAGCAAUCUGUCUCAACUUUUUUAUUGAAAUUAACUUUUAAGUGAAAAGGCUUAAAUAAUCUAGGAAGACGACAAGACCCUAUAAAACUUUAUAAAAAAUAUAGUAAGCUUCAAUUUAUUUGUUUAAAGCUGUUUAUUAAAUAUUUUAUUUCGUUGGGGUGACGAGAGUAUAAUUAAAUAACUGCUCUUUCUUUACACAAUUAUUUUUGAUUUUAAUGACCCUUUUUAAAGAUUUUAAGAAAAAGUUACUUUAGGGAUAACAGCGUAAUUUUUUUUUAGAGAUCAUAUCGACAAAAAAGUUUGCGACCUCGAUGUUGAAUUAAAAUUUCUCCAUGGUGCAGCAAUUAUGGUAGAAGGUCUGUUCGACCUUUAAAAUUUUACAUGAUUUGAGUUCAAACCGGCGUAAG
rnacentral:rRNA from 1 species